rnacentral:rRNA from 1 species
GGCCGGAUUUGAAUGCUAUCUGGUCUGCCUUGGGUCUGAAAGUCGAUGAAGGACGCGAUUACCUGCGAUAAGCUUCGUGGAGUUGGAAAUAAACUAUGAUACGGAGAUUUCCGAAUGGGGUAACCUAACUGAGCAAACCUCAGUUGCAUUUUGAUGAAUCCAUAGUCAAAUUAGCGAGACACGUUGCGAAUUGAAACAUCUUAGUAGCAACAGGAAAAGAAAAUAAAUAAUGAUUUCGUCAGUAGUGGCGAGCGGA